GAUGAACGCUGGCGGCGUGCUUAACACAUGCAAGUCGAACGGGAAACCUUUUAUUGAAGCUUCGGCAGAUUUAGCUGGUUUCUAGUGUCGGACGGGUGAGUAACUCGUGGGUAACCUGCCUUAUACAUGGGGAUAACAACCAGAAAUGGUUGCUAAUACCGCAUAAGCGCACAGGACCGCAUGGUCCGGUGUGAAAAACUCCGGUGGUAUAAGAUGGACCCGCGUUGGCUUAGCUAGUUGGCAGGGUAACGGCCUACCAAGGCGACGAUCCAUAGCCGGCCUGAGAGGGUGAACGGCCACAUUGGGACUGAGACACGGCCCAGACUCCUACGGGAGGCAGCAGUGGGGAAUAUUGCACAAUGGGGGAAACCCUGAUGCAGCGACGCCGCGUGAAGGAAGAAGUACCUCGGUAUGUAAACUUCUAUCAGCAGGGAAGAUAGUGACGGUACCUGACUAAGAAGCCCCGGCUAACUACGUG
rnacentral:rRNA from 1 species